rnacentral:rRNA from 1 species
UACGUAGGGUGCAAGCGUUGUCCGGAAUUAUUGGGCGGAAAGAGCUCGUAGGCGGUUCGUCACGUCGGCUGUGAAAACCUGAGGCUCAACCUCAGGCCUGCAGUCGAUACGGGCGGACUUGAGUACUGCAGGGGAGACUGGAAUUCCUGGUGUAGCGGUGAAAUGCGCAGAUAUCAGGAGGAACACCGGUGGCGAAGGCGGGUCUCUGGGCAGUAACUGACGCUGAGGAGCGAAAGCGUGGGGAGCGAACAGG